CCGAUCUGGCACCGCCCAACCUACCAUGACCUCCACCAUGGAGCUCCUGUAGCUCGUCCCCUGCCUCCUCUUCAUGUGCUCGAGGGAGACGCGCCUCCAGCGCAUCGAGCACAAGGCGCAACCACGCCAAGGUCUACCCCGGCCACCUCUGCGUCCAGCCGGCCUACCCCGGGUCCCUGCAGUUAUUUGUCAUUGGAUACUUUAGAAACAUUCUGUAAAUUGGUAUCAGUUGCACACUUUUUGUUUAUCUCCGUAUCUAUGAUGAUUACCCACUCCAAAGCAUCCCCGCGUUAAUCUGGAAUAAAAGGAGAAGAGCAGAACCAGGAUUUUUAUUCAAUGGUGGUUGAUUAGUAUGUAUGAUCCAAUCAAAUGUGUCCAGCUGUUCUCGUGUUCAUCUCCAACCUUUGAAACUCAGUUUUCAAGUUUAGAAAUCCAACAUUGUUCCUCUCCAACCAUUGAGGCUCAGUUUCCAAGUUCUGACUUAGCAUCAAUCCAUCAUGUAAAUUCCCAGUACAUGACUUUAUCUCGCAGUGGUUAAUUUAGCAAAGGAGUUGUACCCCGUUGUUUCAAGCGGGUCAGGCGCCGCCUCUGUCUGCGAGGCUUCCACAAGUAAUAUAGUGGCGGCCUGGCGCCGCAAAAAUUUGCUACCUCGACGCCAUUCAACUUCCUCACCAGUCGCUCCUAUGCCCACUCACAGGCAAGUAAAACUUUGCAUCCUUCAAUAAUCUGCUAUUGAUCAAAUACUCGUAUAAUUUAUCUCAAGUAUCACAGUCCAGAUCAUUAAUGUAUUGUUUGUGUUUCUAUCAUGCUAGAUUUUGUUUCAAGUUCAUUUCAUGUGUAAGCAAAUUUAGAGUGUUGAAGUCGUAGUGAA